ACACAAUAUGUCGAGACAACCACCUGUGGUUUUGGGUUCUCUGAACAUUCAGAGGUCCUGCCGCCCGAAAAAACAUCACCCCCGCGCUGUAAGAUCAUUACAGAAUAUCUCUCCUUUGAGCCAAGACUGCGGAGCGAGGGCUAGUGAAACAGAUACUAUCCCCUCUGUACGAACGACCAAAAGCGCCAGACACCUGGCCAACAGCCCAGAACAGCUCAAAGAUAAUCAGUGAAUCCGUCCUAAUGGAGCUUUCUGAAGGGUAUCCAUCCUUUACGCAGUUGCUCAGGGGAAUAAAUGAUCUGGAACAGCCUUCGUUAGAAGGGGGUUCAGAGGAGCAAAACGCAUGCAGCCAGUCCCCAUCACAUUAUUGUAGACCUGACAUACCACCAAGAAGGAUAACGGCCUCCUUAUGGACCCUGAACGACUUCCGAGGAGAAUUAUUUAUUUAUAUAUAUAUAUAUAUUAUUAGUUAUACAUAUUUUAUUAUUUUUUACAUGUUUUGAUGAGUCGAUAUGUUAAAACGACGAGACAUGCCCAGCAGAAUCUGGAAUACCUGGUGAAAGAGCCCCCGGUUUCCGCGAUCGGUCAGAACAGCCCUCGUCAAAAAAGCUGAGACUCCUCCCCGGCGUAUAACGGCACAGAAGACCUCACACACCUAGAGCACGCAAGAGGAUUUCGGCUCACCAGACGUUCAAAAUGAAACAACGAAACCGGAGGAUUUCAUCGUUUUAAAUGACAUUUCAGAGGUAGACGACCUGCUAUUAUGGGAGGCGGCCAACCUUCUUGAUUCAGCCAAUUCUUUGGUGGAAACACCCGAACCUGAAAUAGAACAAGCUAGGUUUUUCACAGCCUUUUCCAGGGCUCUAAUAUCCCGAAAGGUUUUGCUCCACAAACGAAUGGGGGCUUUACUCGAGCAACAAUACCGUCAGCAUCUAUCCUUCAGGCAUAGAACAAUGUCAUGUUUGUUAAACAGCAAAACCGAUUUAAAAAACGCAAAUACAGGCGCUAGAAACAUAUGUAACAUGUAUCCUUCCAGAAUACCACAAGAACACACAUAAUUAAUUAUCCAAAUGGCUGAGCCAACAGACAUACUUGAGACAGUUGAAACCCUGUUAUCCCAAGCUAUAAUUAACCAGAUGAAUGAGGCUUGGGUAACAGACAUAAUACCGAUAGAUGAAAACAUAUUAUCCCCAAUACCCCCGAACUCAUAGAAAUAAUUAAUCCUAUGAAUGAGUCAGGGACGACCAAUGAAAAACUGUUAUCCCAGAUUACUGAAUUCCUCAUAUCGUCAAUUAACCAGAUGAAUGAAAGCAUAAGAUCUUCUACACCGGACACCCCACAAACCCCGCCAUUAACGCCCAUGUCCGAAGAGUCUGAAACGCAAUACAAUGUUUUUGAGGAAUUACAAAAUUGUCUAAUAAAUCAGGAGGGAGAUGGUAUUGAUAGAAGUGUCCGGGUUGUGUACCAAAAUAAAUUCAGCAAUACAGAGAUUCGACAAUUUUUCAAUUUCACAUGGGUGAAUCAGAAUCUUGACUAUGCAGUGUUUUAUGUGAUGAUACUGGAUACUCUGACCGAUCUGUUAGACAGGGCAAGAGAUUAUGGCGAACCUCGUGAUGUCUUACAGUUGGAAAUUUGUGGAGAUAGCUUGCAUAACACGGUAUCUCUUAUUUUACCCAAUGGCGAAGCAGAUCUUGAACAAUUUAUAGCCCUGCUGGAACGACUUGUUCAGUCAAAUUCAUCCGUCAUAGCCAAUAGGACCCUCGAGCUUGUAGUGCAAAUAAUACGUCAACCCCUGGGUGGCGAGGGUCAGAGAAGGAAACUAGAUAGCCUAAUGCAAUCAGAAAUAUCUCAUAAACGUUCACAAUCCUGCCUGGUAAAAAGCUAUGCUUUGCAAUAGGCCUAGCACAUUUACUCAACCCUGGGUGUACAGAUCUAGCGGCGUUACUACACAAGGCUAGAGAGCUCCAAACGGCCGUGGGUCUAGGUAUACAGGAUGCGGUGGCUUUCUUGGACAUAGUCAAGUUUGAAAACCUUCUGAACAUCAAGAUUGUGGUUUUGUACCACAGUAGAGCUAAUGCAGCUCUCUUGAAAUUCCAAAACAACCCUCAUCCUCAGAUUCUGUACUUUUAUGUGCAAAACGCCCACUGUUAUGCUAUUACCAACAUCACCGUGUUUUUAGACGCACCAUAUGUCUGUACAUCGUGCCAUACCAGCUACACCCAAAAGGUGUUAUAACUGUUCAGUAUGUCUGGAUGAAAAUUGUCCGAUGCAGCCCUUAAACCUGACACCCUGUGGGGAUUGUCGCCGCAAAUGUCGUUCGGCCUACUGUUACUAAAAACACAAAAUUGAAACAUGGCACCCCAAGGCCUGUAAAUCUGUAAGCAGUUGUGACAUUAACUUCUUAUGGCUGCAGGGGCAGUAUUGAGUAGCUUGGAUGAAAGGUGCCCAGAGUAAACUGCCUGCUCCUCAGUCCCAGUUGCUAAUAUAUGCAUAUUAUUAUUAGUAUUGGAUA